GCCCGUCGCUCCUACCGAUUGGAUGACUCGGUGAAAUCACCGGAUGCUUACGAGCAGAAAGUGAUUAAAUCACGUUAUCUAGAGGAAGGAGAAGUCGUAACAAGGUAACGGUAGGUGAACCUGCCGUUGGAUCAGUUCUAGUUUUAAUAACUAACACCAACUUCUUUUA
rnacentral:rRNA from 1 species